rnacentral:tRNA from 1 species
GGUGUUGUGGCUCAGCGGUAGAGCGCUCACCUAGCAUGUGCAAGGCCCUGGGUUCCAUCCUCAACACCA